rnacentral:tRNA from 1 species
GGAGAGAUGGCCGAGCGGCUGAAGGUACUUGCUUGGAAAGCAAGCGUACGAGAAAUCGUACCGAGGGUUCGAAUCCCUCUCUCUCCG